rnacentral:rRNA from 1 species
AUUGAACGCUGGCGGCAUGCUUUACACAUGCAAGUCGAACGGCAGCGCGGGCUUCGGCCUGGCGGCGAGUGGCGAACGGGUGAGUAAUGCAUCGGAACGUGCCCAGUAGUGGGGGAUAGCCCGGCGAAAGCCGGAUUAAUACCGCAUACGACCUGAGGGUGAAAGCGGGGGACCGAAAGGCCUCGCGCUAUUGGAGCGGCCGAUGUCGGAUUAGCUAGUUGGUGGGGUAAAGGCUUACCAAGGCGACGAUCCGUAGCUGGUCUGAGAGGACGACCAGCCACACUGGGACUGAGACAUGGCCCAGACUCCUACGGGAGGCAGCAGUGGGGAAUUUUGGACAAUGGGGGCAACCCUGAUCCAGCCAUGCCGCGUGCGGGAAGAAGGCCUUCGGGUUGUAAACCGCUUUUGUUCGGGAAGAAAUCCUCUGGGCUAAUACCCCGGGGGGAUGACGGUACCGGAAGAAUAAGCACCGGCUAACUACGUG